CGGUGGAUGAUGUGGAUUAAUUCGAUGCAACGCGAAAACCUUACCUACCUUGACAUGUCCGGAAUCCGAAGAGAUUUGGGAGUGCUCGCAAGAGAGCCGGAACACAGGUGCUGCAUGGCUGUCGUCAGCUCGUGUCGUGAGAUGUUGGGUUAAGUCCCGCAACGAGCGCAACCCUUGUCAUUAGUUGCCAUCAUUUGGUUGGGCACUCUAAUGAGACUGCCGGUGACAACCGGAGAAGUGGGGAUGACGUCAAGUCCUCAUGGCCCUUAUGGGUAGGGCUUCACACGUCAUACAAUGGUCGGUACAGAGGGUUGCCAAGCCGCGAGGUGGAGCCAAUCCCAGAAAGCCGAUCGUAGUCCGGAUUGUUCUCUGCAACUCGAGAGCAUGAAGUCGGAAUCGCUAGUAAUCGCGGAUCAGCAUGUCGCGGUGAAUACGUUCCCGGGUCUU
rnacentral:rRNA from 1 species